UCCGAAUUGGUGUAGUGGCCAACAUUUGACGCUCUCAUGGAUUAAACACCCAGACAGGUACCGUCAAGCCCGGGGUUCGAUUCCCCGAUUCGGAG